UACGUAGGUGACAAGCGUUGUCCGGGUUUACUGGGCGUAAAGAGCGCGCAGGCGGUCGUUCAAGUCGAGUGUGAAAGCCCCCGGCUCAACUGGGGAGGGUCAUUCGAUACUGAUCGACUCGAAGGCAGGAGAGGGUAGUGGAAUUCCCGGUGUAGUGGUGAAAUGCGUAGAUAUCGGGAGGAACACCAGUGGCGAAGGCGACUACCUGGCCUGUUCUUGACGCUGAGGCGCGAAAGCUAGGGGAGCAAACAGG
rnacentral:rRNA from 1 species